AUGCGCGCGGAUCGCGUCAUGGCGGAGGCGGGCAAGCAGGUCAACCUAGCCGCGCCGCUGCGGUUGGCGCGCCUGCCCUACCACAAGGCCGACCUUGACUCCGGCCCCGUCUGCGACCCCGGCGCCGUGCUCUUUGUCUGGGAGCAGAGCCCCGGCCAGCCCAAGAGCGUCCACACCCGUCGCUCGAUUCCGCACUCGCCCGCGCCCUCGCAGCCGCGCCCCGAGGAGAACGGCACGGCGAGGCAGCAUGGCGAGGCAACGGCGAGGCGGGGCAGCGACGAGCCGGGGCGGCACGGCCCGGUUCCGCACUCGCCCGCGCCCACGUAG
rnacentral:rRNA from 1 species